rnacentral:rRNA from 1 species
UGGGUAACCUGCCCGGAUGUGGGGAAUACCUCGGGGAAACUCGAGCUAAUACCGCAUGACAUCUUCGGGACGAAAGUCCUGAUGAUCAAAGCGGGGUCGCAAGAUCUCGCGCUUCCGGAUGGGCCCGCGCCCGAUUAGCUAGUUGGCGAGGCAACGGCUCACCAAGGCAACGAUCGGUAGCCGGCCUGAGAGGGUGAUCGGCCACACCGGAACUGAGACACGGUCCGGACUCCGUAGGGACGG